CCAGCAACAAGCACCAUUUUUUCAUUAACAGCCUGUAAAAAUUGUCAAGCAAAACACAACGUUGCCUUACAGAUUUUUUUAUUAAUCAAAAUCAAAAGAAAAUUAAAAAACCACACAUAAAACAUUGAAACGGAACAGAAACAACAAAAUAAACGCACAACAAGCAUAUUCCAGCGCAGAAAACACACUUAAACAAGCAUAAAGAUGGAGAAUAACGAGGCGCCCGCACCUUCCGGUUCGAACAACAAUGAUUUUCCCAUACUUCCGCCGCCGCCAAAUGCCUCGUCAUCCAACUACAACUACAACAACGACUCGGCCAACAGCAACAACAAUGCGGCACAGAAACGCCUGCAGCAGACACAGGCCAAAGUGGACGAAGUGGUGGGCAUAAUGCGCGUCAAUGUCGAGAAGGUGCUCGAACGUGAUCAGAAAUUAUCGGAGCUGGGCGAGCGAGCCGAUCAGCUGGAACAGGGCGCCUCACAGUUCGAACAGCAGGCAUGCAAACUAAAGCGCAAGCAAUGGUGGGCCAACAUGAAGAUGAUGAUCAUUCUGGGCGUCAUUGCCGUCGUCUUGCUCAUCAUCAUAAUAGUGUCGAUUUACAAUUGAUAAACAAAAGAAAAAGAAAAAGAAAAAGUAAAAAGUAUAAGAAAAACAUAUGCAGCAGGGCAACUUGUUGCGCUUACCCAAUACAUACGCAUAACUCUAAGGCAGCUAUCAACAUCAACACAUACAUAUACACAUACAGCUGUGUGUGUGUGUAGAAAGAACAAAAUUUUAGUUUAAGCAAAAAGUGUGUGCUUUGCCCUCGGGCAGCAGCGGCAGCGAUCAUGCUGCAAAAUCCGUUACCGAGGCGCCCCAUUAGAUGGAGUCGCC